rnacentral:rRNA from 1 species
GGGUUAAGUCCCGCAACGAGCGCAACCCUUGUCAUUAGUUGCUACAUUCAGUUGGGCACUCUAAUGAGACUGCCGGUGACAAAGCCGGAGGAAGGUGGGGAUGACGUCAAGUCCUCAUGGCCCUUAUAGGUGGGGCUACACACGUCAUACAAUGGCUGGUACAAGGGGUUGCCAACCCGCGAGGGGGAGCCAAUCCCAUAAAGCCAGUCGUAGUCCGGAUCGUAGUCUGCAACUCGACUACGUGAAGUCGGAAUCGCUAGUAAUCGUGGAUCAGAAUGUCACGGUGAAUACGUUCCCGGGCCUU